AACGCUGGGUGCUGGCUUAACAUAAGCAAGUCGAGUGGUAGNCCNAAAAAGCUCCGUCCCCAGCUGGCCAGUGGUGGACGGGCGAGCAAUAUGUGGGAAUUCGCCUCGCAGAGGGGGACAACUAUAGGAAACGGUCGCUAACACCGCAUAAUAUGAAAGUAUGAAAGGGAAGGGGGUUGUGAACUCGUGCUAUAGGAUGGGCCUUGGUGGUACCAGCUAGCCGGCGAGGCAAUGGCUUACCAAGGCGACGACGCGUAGCUGAUCUGAGAGGGUGAUCAGUUACACUGGGACUGAGAUAUGGUCCAGACUUCUAUGGGAGGCAGUAGCAGGGAAUAUUGCGUAAUGGAUGAAAGCCUGAUGCAGUAAUGCCGCGUGGAUGAAGAAGGCCUUCGGGUUGUAAAGUACUUUCAGCAGGGAAGAAUGAGCUAGUGUUAAUAUCGGUGGCAUUUGACGUUACUCACAGAAGAAGUACCGGCUNACUACGUGCCAGCAUUUGUGGUAACACGAAGGGNGCAAGCGCUAGUCGGAAUUACCNGUUGCAAAGCGUNCGCAGGCGGUUUGUUAANUCCGAUGUGAAAUNUUCGGGCUCAACCUCGGAAGUGCAUGUAGAACNGGCAANCCCGAGUCUUGUAGAGGGGGGUAGNAUUCCNAUGAAAAAAGCCGGGNUAUCNGUGCCACANCCGGGUAANGGGGGGGAGNUUUAUUGGAAUUUGGGNUUAAGGGCCCCAGNGUUUUUUAACGAAUUUUAAAGCCGGNNNCACNUGGAUUGUUUUUNAGAUUGGCCAAGUAANAGUUUUGUAAAGGGGGGUUAAAAUUCNANGGUGUUAGCGGUUAAUAUGAGUAAANUCUGNAGGAAAUNCCNGGNUGGCAAAGGCGGCCCCCCUGGNCGAANGANUGACGUUCAGGCNCAGAAAGCGUUGGGGAGCAAACNAGGAUUAGAAUCCCCUGGUAGUCCACNCCGUAAANGAUGUCUACUCGNAGUUUGGCGUNUAGAACGCUGGGCUCUCAAAGCUAACGCAUUAAGUAGACCGCUUGGGGAGUACGACNGCAAGGUUAAAACUCAAAUGAAUUGACGGGGGCCCGCACAAGCGGUGGAGCAUGUGGUUUAAUUCGAUGCAACGCGAAGAACCUUACCUACUCUUGACAUCCAGAGAAUUUUCCAGAGAUGGAUUAGUGCCUUCGGGAACUCUGAGGCAGGUGCUGCAUGGCUGUCGUCAGCUCGUGUUGUGAAAUGUUGGGUUAAGUCCCGCAACGAGCGCAACCCUUAUCCUUACUUGCCAGCGGGUGAUGCCGGGAACUGUAGGGAG
rnacentral:rRNA from 1 species